GACGAACGCUGGCGGCGUGCUUAACACAUGCAAGUCGAACGGUAAGGCCCUUCGGGGUACACGAGUGGCGAACGGGUGAGUAACACGUGGGUGAUCUGCCCUGCACUUCGGGAUAAGCCUGGGAAACUGGGUCUAAUACCGGAUAGGACUCCGGACUGCAUGGUCUGGGGUGGAAAGCUUUUGCGGUGUGGGAUGGGCCCGCGGCCUAUCAGCUUGUUGGUGGGGUGAUGGCCUACCAAGGCGACGACGGGUAGCCGGCCUGAGAGGGUGACCGGCCAGACUGGGACUGAGAAACGGCCCAGACUCCUACGGGAGGCAGCAGUGGGGAAUAUUGCACACUGUGCGCAAGCCUGAUGCAGCGACGCCGCGUGAGGGAUGACGGCCUUCGGGUUGUAAACCCCUUUCAGCACAGACGAAGCGCAAGUGACGGUAUGUGCAGAAGAAGGACCGGCCAACUACGUGCCAGCAGCCGCCGUAA
rnacentral:rRNA from 1 species